AUUGAACGCUGGCGGCAGGCCUAACACAUGCAAGUCGAACGAGUGGCGGACGGGUGAGUAAUGUCUGGGAAACUGCCCGAUGGAGGGGGAUAACUACUGGAAACGGUAGCUAAACCCGCAUACCAUCGGAUGUGCCCAGACGGGGAUAGCUGGUAGGUGGGGUAACGGCUCACCUAGGCGACGCUCCCUAGCUGGUCUGAGAGGAUGACCCGCCACACUGGAACUGAGACACGGUCCAGACUCCUACGUGAGGCAGCAGUGGGGAAUAUUGCACAAUGGGCGCAAGCCUGAUGCAGCCAUGCCGCGUGUAUGAAGAAGGCCUUCGGGUUGUAAAGUACUGUCAGCGAGGAGGCGUUACUCGCAGAAGAAGCACCGGCUAACUCCGUGCCAGCAGCCGCGGUAAUAC
rnacentral:rRNA from 1 species